GUCUAAAUAGCUCAGAUAGGUAGAGCGUUAGGUUGAAAACCUUUGAGUCACGAGUUCGAGUCUCGUUUUAGACA
rnacentral:tRNA from 1 species